UCUAGAUUGCUUUCGGUCUGU
rnacentral:miRNA from 1 species